rnacentral:rRNA from 1 species
GAGAAAAGUUAUAAUUCUUGUUUAUUAAAAAAUAAAAGUCAUUGAUUGGAAAAAUAAUUUAAGAGAAAUUUAAAGUAGUGUUUGACCAAAAAAAGGAAAAAACUAUAGGUUAUAAGUACUGUGAGGGAAAGAAAAGUAAAGACCAAAUAAAUGUGAAUAGAAUAUAUGAAUUAUUAUACCUUGUGUAUUAGGGGUAAUCAAUAUAAUUUAAGGAGUAAUUAAGUAUCUCGAAACAAAAACAGCUAAUUUUAUAAAAUUGUCUUUGUAAAAAAAAAGUGUUUAAUAUAAAAUUAAAGGUGAUAUGCUAUCCGAGUUUUGUAAUAUCUAGUUUCUUUAGAUUUAAAUUUAAUUUAGAGCUUAGGGACAAAAAGGUUUAUACCUAAGGCUGGAGUAUAGGAGGGAUUAGCUUCUUAUAUAUAAGAAUUGAAAAGUUUUAUAAGUAUUUAAGAUGUUAAAUUAAGCUUAAAAGUAGCUAUAUUAAUAAAGUGUUAUAACUAAAUGUUAAUAGUAGAAUAUUUAUAUUUGCUGUCUAGUUUAUAAAGAAAUUACGCGAAAUAUUAAAGAGUGAGAUAUAAUGGUUAUAUUAGUAGAGUUUAUUGUAGUCAGAGGUGUAAAUAUAAAAAUAAGUUAUAAAAGAAACGUGAAAAUAUAAAGGAACUCGGCAAGCAGUUUUCUUGCCUGUUUAUCAAAAACAUGUCUGUUUGGAGGUAUAAAAAGUCUGGCCUGCCCACUGAUAAAACAUUAAAGGGCCGCGGUAUUUUGACCGUGCAAAGGUAGCAUAAUCGUUAGGUUUUUAAUUGAGAUCUUGUAUGAAGGGUUUGACAAAGAAAAUCCUGUCUCUAUAUUUGGUAAUUGAAAUUAACUUUUGAGUGAAAAGGCUUAGAUGAAUUAAAAAGACGAUAAGACCCUAUAAAACUUUAUACAAAUGGUUUAUUUAGUUAGAUUUGAAAAUAAUAAAGAUUUAAUAAAAGGUUAGUAUUAUAUUGGGGCGAUAAAAAUAAAAUGAUUAGUAACUGUUUAAAAUUGAAAUUACUUAUAGGUAAAAUAAGUAAAUGAUCCUUAUUAAAGAUUAGAAGUUUAAGUUACUUUAGGGAUAACAGCGUUAUUUUUUUUGAGAGUUCUUAUCGAAAAAAGAGUUUGCGACCUCGAUUUUGAAUUAAAGUGUCUG